rnacentral:lncRNA from 12 species
UCACAGGGAGGAUGAAAAGCGAACACCCUGAUGGUGCCAGCAUUGUGAGCUGUCUGCAGCUGCCCACAGCCAGCAGUCAGGAUCAAAGGGUGGGGAUGCCAGGGCCCCAGAGAGCUCAGGAAACUUCAUCCUUCCCUCUCAAGCCUGAUCAUGGGCUCAGCAUGAAGAGUUUGGUUCAGCACACUGGAGCUGAGUGCAGAGCAUUGGGCUGUUCCUCUGACUUUCUGUGCUGCCGUGGGGGUGUCAGGAAACUCUGCUGGGAAGGUUCCCUGGAUGCUGCUGGCACUCAGCCUGUGCCUGGGACAAUCUGCAGAGCGUGCCACAGCCCAGAUGCACAAGAAAGCUUCCAGCCAAAGUAAGUGAUGGCAGACACAUCCCUCUGCAUGCCCAUGCAGGGAGAGACCCAGCAGCUGAGGUCCCACGUUCCACUUGAUCUCCCUCACCGCCUCCAGUGGAAAAAUUUCCAUAUGUCACGUGCUUGUUCAGGAGCUUUCAAAGGGCAGUGAAGCG